CUUAAGCAUAUCAAUAAGCGGAGGAAAAGAAACCAACAGGGAUUGCCCUAGUAACGGCGAGUGAAGCGGCAACAGCUCAAAUUUGAAAUCUGGCGCAAGCCCGAGUUGUAAUUUGUAGAGGAUGCUUCUGGGUAGCGGCCGGUCUAAGUUCCUUGGAACAGGACGUCAUAGAGGGUGAGAAUCCCGUAUGUGACUGGCUUGCACCCUCCACGUAGCUCCUUCGACGAGUCGAGUUGUUUGGGAAUGCAGCUCUAAAUGGGAGGUAAAUUUCUUCUAAAGCUAAAUACCGGCCAGAGACCGAUAGCGCACAAGUAGAGUGAUCGAAAGAUGAAAAGCACUUUGGAAAGAGAGUUAAAAAGCACGUGAAAUUGUUGAAAGGGAAGCGCCCGCAACCAGACUUUGCGGCAGUGUUCGGCCGGUCUUCUGACCGGUUUACUCGCUGUCGUGAGGCCAUCAUCGUCUGGGACCGCUGGAUAAGACCUUAGGAAUGUGGCUCCCCUCGGGGAGUGUUAUAGCCUCUGGUGAUGCAGCGCGUCUCGGGCGAGGUCCGCGCUUCGGCAAGGAUGAUGGCGUAAUGGUUGUCGGCGGCCCGUCUUGAAACACGGACCAAGGAGUCUAACAUCUAUGCGAGUGUUCGGGUGUCAAACCCCUACGCGUAAUGAAAGUGAACGGAGGUGGGAACUUUUUGUGCACCAUCGACCGAUCCUGAUGUCCUCGGAUGGAUUUGAGUAAGAGCAUAGCUGUUGGGACCCGAAAGAUGGUGAACUAUGCCUGAAUAGGGUGAAGCCAGAGGAAACUCUGGUGGAGGCUCGCAGCGGUUCUGACGUGCAAAUCGAUCGUCAAAUUUGGGUAUAGGGGCGAAAGACUAAUC
rnacentral:rRNA from 1 species